AUCUAUCCAACUGCCUGUCAAGGUGACAGAUUUCCAUCUGCACUGAUGCAACAAAGGCAAGUCAAAGGCUGAAGCCAUCACGGCCAUGUGUGCCCUUAGAGCUUGAAAAUACUCGAGAAAAUGCACAAACCACAUAGCUGCCAUUUCUCCAGUGACAAGCUAAUUCUACGGAUGUAUGAGGAUCUUAAAAACAAGUUACAACAGUUGCUUUGUGAAGCUGAGUGGGUAGCUAUGACAACAGAGCAAAUGAGGGCCUACUUGACAAAGCAGCACUUUAUCAUAACAACACACUUCAUGUCGGAAAGUGGUCGGGAAAAACUUCAAUCAUGAAAUCUGUUUACAAGUUUGCAACCAGUUUAAUAGUCCAAUUCUGCUAUUUCUUCUCCACAGAAGAAUACGUGUAAUCUCACAGACGCUGCUUUGAUGGUUGAACAAUUUUGGCAGCUAGUUCAAGACGAGUGACAAAGUGGCAUGACACUCUACAGUGACAGUGAGAAAGCGAGAGAUGCAGAAUAUGGUACUGCAGCUCAUUUUGCGCAUGGAUGUUUGAGAGGUUUAUCAGACAAUAUGCACACUACACAGUUUACUACAUGGCCAUUCAAUGAGAUUAGGGACAUGCUGCACGGCUCGCUUUCAUACCACUCGAUCCCUGACCACUUGCACAUGAGUUUCUCUGCAGUGUUUCCAUCUGGAUUUAGAGCCAAGAACCAUCUUAGUGUCAGGUGUGAACAGAGCCUCAGAUUGAUUAUGAUGCACUAAACUAGUCCGACCUCUUUAUGUAGCAGAUUCAUCCGUCACACAGCAGAAGUGGCAAAACAACAGCGCUGUGUCAAACAACUGCUGCUCAACCUCGAUAAACAGAGCUCAACCAAGUUAGCCAAGACGAAGUUCAUACCUAACAACCAACCCGUUGAUCCUGUCUUGUUUUAAUACCUAUUCACAAGCAGUUAAAGGUGCAGUCUAUGAUUUCAAUUCGAUACACUUUGUCAAAUUCAUGAAAUAUCUCCUCACGGUCCACUAGGGGUCUGUUCUGUGUGUGUGCUGAGAAAUAUCCGGUGUUCAUACACAGCCCUGGUUCUCUAAAUUGGAAACAAAGUGGAUCGGACCGAGCGACACAACACGGGAUGUGCUGGUGCACAGGACAGGGGAAAAGCAGUGGGAGCGGUAAAUGUCGUAGGCCUAAAUGACAGGAGGGGUGUAUCUGUUUGGGUGCUGAAUUCAAAUUUCACACUCCACCUGUAAGAUUCAACUGUUAAAGCUGAAUUUCAGUGCGUUGCUUGCUUGCUUGAUCAGACAAUUCUGGUUCUGCUUCAAGGGAUUUACCGAUGCGAUUAAAGAAGCCACUGCUCCAAACACGACAUUAUAACCUGACAUGCUGAAGAGCACUUUGCACACGCAGAGAUGCUGCUGUCACAGCUGAUGACAUUAUCAGAAGGGGGCAGUUGGGUACACCAAGACUCGUCAAUGCCCCACCCUAGUUCAAUCAGGGUGUGUGUGCUUGUGCGAGUGUGUCCCUGGUAGGGACAGGCAGAUAGACAGGCAGGAGCUACAAGUGAGACAGCAGGCAGACUGAUAUGGCUGAACCUUGGAUGGGUGCCACCUCACACACGGAUCAGCAUGUGCUGGAACACUGUUGCAUCAUGUGCGUUCCAAUCGUGUUGCUGUGCUACUCCUGCGUGACUGACUGCAUUAGCUCAAACUCUGGAGGAGCUGGGGAGGGGGAGGUGGUAUUAGGUGGGAGGUUGUGGUUCUUAAUCAGCUGAUAAACUCACAAACAGAACUCAAAGUAUAGUUAAAAGAGAGACACACAAAUAGGGUCAAAUUCAGUUCAGUGCAUGAGAGGAGAAAUGGAAGAGAGGAAAGCAAACAACUAAAAGGACACAAGAUCAAAACAAAUGUUAUAUUAGGUGGCUGUCCAGAGAGUCCUUAUCUAAUGGCAAGAGGCCAUCUUUCUGCAACCUCAGGAUCAGCUCAGGCUUCUUGUAAGGCUUGAGGGCCAGCAGGUGUGUGAGGCGCUCUCGGAGCGGCCUGUGCUGAGCUGUGCCCUUCUUCAGUGUACCGCUAGAGAUGAUGACAGGCCGAGAUGUCCUCCGAGACGGGGCGACGUCAGAGAGGCCAGGUGCCGGUUUCCGGAUCUGAACCUUCUUACCUGAGGGGUUGGAAGCUGAGCAAGGUACUCCAGAUGUCCCUCUCCCCAGCAACACUUUCAAGCUCCUCCUGGGGAAUCCUGGAUGUUCCCAGGCCAGACGGGAUAUAUAAACCCUUCAGCGUGUUCUUGGUUCUACCUCAGGGUCUCCUACCAGUUGGACUUGCCUGGAAUAUCUCUAAAGGGAGACGCCAAGGAGGCAUCCUGAUCAGAUGCCCAAACCACUUCAACUGGCCCCUUUUGAUACGAAGGAGGAGCGGCUCUACUCUGAACUCCUUACCCUAUCUCUAAGGCUGAGCCCAGCCACCCUACAGAGGCAAGUUAUUCUGGCCGCUUGUAUCUGCGAUCUCAUUCUUUUGGUCACUACCCAAAGCUCACGACCAUAGGUGAGGGUCAGAAUGUAGAUGGACUCAUAAUUUGACAAUUUUGCCUUCCAGCUCAGGUCCCAACGCCUGCAUCACUACUUAACGGCCUGUCCAUCUCACACUCCAUUUUACCCCUUGUGAUCAAGACCUCGAGAUACUUAUGGUGCGUGCCGGAUCACAUACUUUUUCUACUUUUAGUAGGUACUGCAGCUGCCCUUAAACGUACAUACUGUUCCAUGCAGUAUGAACACAAUUGGGACAUACUACUGUCUCAUAACAUUACGUCCUGAGCUUUGUCCCUCUUGCUUUUAUAUCCGUUAUCUUGGAGAUGAAACAAGAUGAGACGGAGAUCAAUCCAGAGAGCUCUGCUGUUGCUACUUUGCAAUAUAGGCUAUGUAGUUUAACUUUAAUGUUAUAACUGCAUAGAUUGUAGAUUUUACCAUAUUAUAUUUGUGAAAGUAAAAUUACAUCUGCAGUUCUCUGACAUCGUCAUUUUUAUUGUUGCUUGUAAAAUUUAUGAUUUGUUUUGUUCAAUUAAAC